rnacentral:misc_RNA from 1 species
GCUAUCUAACAUAGACCCAAUAUAGACCCUCGUACUUUAAGCGGAUUAAAGUAGGCGAGUAGCAUCACUACAUGUUUUGAGUUCACAGUGAACGAGUCUAAAACUCAAAUUUUCUGUAAAGGAAGCACAUGCUUACUUUACAAAAGGAAUCCCAAGUGUUGUGGUUAUACCCAUAGCCUUGACAAGUGCUUCACACUUUGGGAAAUAUUUUUAGUCCUUUAUGAUGAUCAGAUCCGAAUAUUAUUUUUGAGGAUAUAUAAGAAGUAAAGUUUCUCACAUGCUCAUCCACCACUAUAU